rnacentral:lncRNA from 1 species
AGCCGUGAUAUUGUGUUUUAUAAGCAUUGAAACACUCGUGUUUUUGGUUUUCCUUUUGGAAACAUAGGGAUCUUCAAAGCUUUCAAGCUCAGCAGAAUGAAUUACAAUUUUAAGAUAAGAGGCAAAUUUCAUCUUUUCUGCAACCUGUUCUUUGCUUAAUGCUACAGUUUUAACAUAUAUCGCGUGGAUCGAUGAUGCAUGUAUGAUAUUAAACUGAUGAGAACAGGUUGUUGCACAUAUUGUUGAUGUACACAAUAAGUUCUAUUUGUAGUGAAAAUUUACACCUGACAGAAGUGGACAAGUCGAUUAUUGAAAGAAUGCAAAGUGUACCUUGGGUUCCUGUAAUUACACUAUUGAAAUAACUUCAGGUAAAUUUUUCUCUUUCUUCAAUCUGACAUAGUUCCAAUUUGACUCUUAGCCUAUAUUUGGUGGGGAUUAAAAUAAGAUUUUUAGUAGAUUUUGAUAGAAAUUGAUGAAAUGUGUGGUUGAAAAGUUGUUAGAUCAAUCAAAUAUGUGGUUAAAAUGAAUUGUGCUUUGACUUUGGAGAUCUUAAUUGGUACCAAUCCGGUUUGCUUAAUUACUGGGCUACUUCUAAAUGUCUGGCUUUCAAACUGCUGGCAUUGAAGGCUAAGAAUCCUUAGGAAUCAUCGGUUGAGGUAAUGUAGGUAUGGCUUGUGGCAUAGUUUGCAAUAGGUUUUGGUUCUUGCCAGCGCGCUAAUGUACAAGCUCGAAAAUGACAGCUGCAAACAAUUGUAAUAAAGGUGGCCAUUUGUUCGGCUACAGAAAAUGUACCAUAACUUUGUCAAGCCCUUUUGAACCUGCUGAGGUUCACAUUGUCACCAGUUCGGAAUAGCUUAUAAAGAAUUGAGUAGCAUGUUUGGUUAGAGAUUUGUUACAUGUGCACUUUAGUGUACAGCCCCUGGGGGGGGGGGGGGGGGGGUGCAAAUUUUUUAAUCACUGUGAGCCCCCUCUUAUGUGAGGGGGUGGUACACUAGAGUGUACACUGUUGGAAUCUCCCGUUUAGUUACAUGCUUGUAAGAUAUGUGCUUUUUUUACGAAUUAAAGUUAAUAUUUACUUUCUUUAAAAAUAAAUUUUGUUUUUAUUAAGUAAAUGUGAGCCUUAAAAAUGAAAAGUGAGUUUGAUAUAUACAUAUAUAUAUAUUUUUAAAUUUAAAUCCACUCAAGUGGCUCGUUCUAAUAAAAAUUAAAUAAAAAUUACGAACUUAGGAGGAUGCUAGGCCUGACUUCCAAUUAAUAAAUCGAUCUUAUUCCAUCUGUAUAAAAUGGGGGAGGGAAGGGGAAUGCAAUGUUAUAUAAGCAUAAAAUUAUAAAACUAGGACUAGAAUUCAUAUGAUCGCAUUUUGGAUACUUUUGUCAUUUUGAUUUAUGUUAACUCCAUUCCUCCAACCAAUUUGAUACACGUAAUUACUGAAUGACACUGUUCAGGGGUACCAAAUUAAGUGAAUUAUAAUUAUCGUUAAAAAAUGGAACCCAAACAAAUGCUAAGAAUGAGGACGAGAAGCUUCUUACUCACAAUAAAUAUUGAUGGGGAGGAAUCGACGAGUCAAGCAAAAGAGCGUGACUCUAUGAUUUUAUUGUUUGUUCCGUAGAUAUAUUUAUUAUACAAUAAAUUGAGAAAAAGAAGUUGGAUUUUUAUUCAUUCCUGCUUGAUAACAGGCAAUCGACACAGGAAUAGAAUUGACGACAAACAAUAUAAAGAGAUUAGGAUCAUUGCUGAAUCCAAACCCAUUGAAUAAGUCAAACCGUGCAAGUUUCCAACUGAUAUAAUUUGUUCAAAAUGGAAUGGCCGUAAAGCCUUUAUUAUCUGAGAGAAGCUGCAUGUACAGAAGCUCUUUCUACAGAAGUUGGUUAGAUAACACACAAAAUAGCGUGGAUGGGUGAUUUUUUGACAUUAUUUUAUCAUCCACAUGGGGCCCACCAUGUGAGUGAUUUGGUGGAGUUCUGUGGCCACCAUUCUGUACAAAGGAAGUUUCUCUUAUUAUCUAUAUAUAAUUUUGAAUUUAAACCUACUUUCCAAUGAAUAUAGACAAACAUCAACAAAUUACCAAGCUAGCAAUAACCUUACGGCCCUGCUACAUGUACCCCGAGCCUUACAGCUUGAUGUACAGCCCCUUUACAUGGGACGUGGGGUCCACGCAUUAAAUGGGCGUGAGCCUCUACCCUCAUGUGAGGGGAGUGUAAGGCUCGGUGUAUAAGGGACAUUAUUCAUAACCUUAUUCUUUGCGAGUGUGUGCAAUUUUCUAGCUCUUUAUACUUGGAUAUGAUUAUUUACAAAUAAGUCUUCAUAAACCUAAGCCUCCUUUGAAUGAACCAUGAAAAAUUCAUCAUAUCCCAAGUGAUGAACCUCUAGAAUUCUUUCACAUUCUAACGAUUCUGUACAAGUCUCUUAUCAUAUCCUUAUGCUUGACUUCUAUAUUUUUUUUAUUUUUUAUUUUUCCUUUCCCUAGAACGUUCACAUCCUCGUAAUGUCAACCUGCGUUUAGAGUCUUGUGCUGUCAACCUCCUCUUUCGUUCAUCGUAAUCCUUGGUUGCACCCCUAGCAUCAAAUCUUUGGAUAAACCCAACUUAUUUAAUUCUUCAAUAAUAUGUACCCAAGUCGUUAGAUUACAUACUGUCCGCUUUGGGUGGGCUUUGCGCCCACUUACCCCUCACGACUUUCUGUCGCGUCCCCCAAGAUUCAAACUCAUAAUAUUUAUCCCCCAUUUCAUAGGAUUACAAGGCACAAUUUUUAUAGUUGUUGAACUAGAACUAAUUGAUAUUUAUCCCCCAUAUCGUUUAGGUUGCGUUUGAUUGCCAAUAUUUUGUAUGAAAAAUGUGUUCUUUCCAUCCAAAUUCCUAUUUUGUGCCGUUUGAUUGUCAUUUUUUUUCGAUGGAAAAUAUUUUACACUUUUUGGUUACGUGACCAUAUUUUUCUCAAAAUCAAGAAAAUAUUUUCUUUAGGGUGAGUAAAAUUUUGUUUUCCGAGGAAUUCACCCUCUCUUUCCCUCUCUCAUCUACCCAUCAAUAAAAAACGGACAAAUAUAAUAUUUUUUAGGUUGAAAAAUAAAUCAAUCAAAUACAUUUAAAUGACAAUUUCUAUGCAAAUAAAUUCUAGACAAUUGAAUUACCAAGAAUUUAUUUUUGUCCAUGCUAAUUCCAUGAUUGCAAUCAAAUGCAAUCUUAGUUAAAAAUAAAAUUUUUAGUAGAUUUUGAUAAAUAUUGAAAUGUGUGGUUGAAAAUGAAUUUCAAAAAAUGAAUUUAAAAAAAAAUGGUUCUAAACAUGGACUUAAAUAUAAAUACUACAACCUUAAACUUCUAAACGUUUACAACUACUGUUUCAUCAAUAUCGUUUAAGAAAUUAGUUGAAACACAACAGUAUAUAACUACUGAUACCAACUGCUCGAUCAGCCACACUUUCUUCUUCCAGGUAUUUUUCUCUAUUUUAUGUUAUUACGUCUGUGCAAGAUUCUGUAUUUGCUGAGUCCACAAGUGCAUUCAGCGUACAGAUAUUUUCCUCGUACAUUAAUCUUUUUUAUUCAAUUUGUUUUAUAAUCUGAGACACUGUUGGUCAGCAGUCUCAUUUGUUGUUGUGAAAAUGGAGGCAAGACAAAGGUUUUUGGUUUUAGGAUAUCUUGCAAUGGCUUUUUCAUUGUUUUCGCAUGAAAUUUUAGUCAAAUUUGAUUCGAAAUGUGUCAUUGUUCAAAACUCAUAUGAAAUUUCAGUCAAAUUCGAUUUGCAACGCGCAAGCCAAAAAACCGCACGAAAUUUUAGUGAAAUUUGAUUCGAAAUGUGUCAUUGGACCAAACUCAUGUAAACUUUUAGUCAAAUUCGAUUUGGAACACGCCAACGAAAAAAUCUCGUGAAAUUUUAGUCAAAUUUGAUUCGAAAUAUGUCAUUGAACAAAACUCAUGUGAAAUUUCAGUCAAAUUCGAUUUGGAACGCGCCAUAGAAAAAAUCGCAUGAAAUUUUAGUCAAAUUUGAUUCGAAAUGUGUCAUUGGACCAAACUCAUGUAAAAUUUUAGCAAAAUUCAAUUGCAAACGCGCCAACGAAAAAAUCGCAUGAAAUUUUAGUCAAAUUUGAUUCGAAAUGUGUCAUUGAACAAACUCAUGUGAAAUUUUAGUUAAAUUCGAUUUGAAACACGCCAACGAAAAAGCCACGUGAAAUUUUAGGUAAAUUUGAUCGAAUUAGACUAACAACUCGCCAAAAACGAACCAACCCGAAGUUAUCAUGAAAUAAAAAAAAUAUUAUUUUGCCUUGCGACGAUCUCAUUUUACCAUAAACUCUAAUCCCUUAUGCACUUCAUCACAUGGAGGUUUUGCUAAUUAUUACAAAACCAUCUCUUUUUUUUCUCUCUCUCUCUCUUAAUCAUAAACUUUGCACUAAAUUAUUAAAUUAGAUUCCUGAUAUUGUUGAGUUAAUUUUGAUGCAUGGCAUAGUAAUAUGUAAAUAAUCACAGCCAUUCUUUAAAGUAUUCCUGUAUGUAUAAAAACCUGAAAAACGUUUCAAUUUGAUACUAAAAACAUCUAUGUAACAUGAUUAACGUUUUUAAUUUCAAUUAAUUUUCAAAGUCAUCACGUAUUGAUGUAGCAGUGUCAACUGACAUCAUUUACAGUUGAACAAAAUACCACUUGGACCCUGCUAUGUGUAUAGGCAGGUUUCAUACAGAAACCUAUCAGAAUACACACAUAGAGGGGUAGGUGGGGGUAUUUUUUGACAAUUUUUUAUUCACAAUGAAUCCCACACAUGAGAGUAAUUUGGUCAAACUCUGUCAAAAAUUUUAUGUACAAAUGGCAUUCUCCAUACCACUUUAGGCAUAUAUGAAUGACAUAUGGAAGUUAAUUUCUCUACCUACAAAGGAAAUUCACUGAAUAAAAAAGCUUUGAUUUUUAUAAUCACAUUUAAAAUUGAAUAAGUAUUUAAAUAAAUCCACAGAUAAUGCAAUUCUCUAUGAGUUCAUAUUAUUCUAGUAGUUGAUUUCCUUUUUCUUUCUUUAUCAACUGCUGACUUGUAAUUAAUAAUUAAUUUUCCAGAUGGAUUCCACAAAAGGGUGAUGAAGAACAGAGAUCGUCUUCUCCACUCGAACUCCAUAAAUGGGAGGAUCGUGUAAGCCUAAAUUACCCGCAUAAAAUACUCUCUGAUUUUUUAUUUUUUUUUCGAAAUACUUUAUGUUGUAAUCAUUGUAAAGAGUUUGAGGAUAUAUAUAUAUAUAAAAAUAUUGUGAGACCUACUUUCAACUAAUAUGUUGCUUUAAGAAAAGAUAACUAGAUAAGAGCUACUAAAUUCUAAAUGUGAUUACAAAAAAUUUAUGUACACUUGGGAGAUAAACACAAAUGGUAUCGGGAAAAAUCAACGGAAAUGAAAACUGAAAAUUGAGCUAGAUAGAGCAAGGACAAAAUUUACGUGAUUUUACAAAUUGCUGACAACUACAUGAGAAGAAGAUUUUAUUAAUUGAUAAAACCUCAUAAUACAAUAAUUUUUUUCAUUCUUUCAACUUCUCAGUACACAAAGUUAGAACACUCAAACGAACAAUGUGUAUAUUUUUUUCUUCCUUUUCCCUCUCACAAAUUACACCUUGACUGUAUGAGCAUUUUUUAUUAUUUUUUAUGAUGGGGGAACUCGCAAUCAUUACCCUUUGGGUGCGUAUUGAGUAAACUCUCGAACUGAUCCAAUAGCGUGCAAAUCACGCUAAUUAGGUAAACCUCACUAGACAAGCCCGGUGCGACAAUGGGGGUGGGUUUGGGUGCCCUACCACGUUACUAGUUUAAAGUGGGGCGGAGCCCUUGCCCCGUUUAAUUUAUUUUAUUUUAAUUCAUUUUAUUGUCCCCAUUUAUUAAAGUGAGGCAAAAAUAUAGUUAUUAAUUUUUUAAAUGUAUUUAUUUAUUUUUAAAAGUUAAAUUAUGGAAAUAUAUUUGGUAAAUUAAUGUUUUUAUUGUUUAUCAUAUUCCUUAGAUAAACUGAAUUACAAUCUUCUAUUAAAAUUAAUGAAAAUUCAUGGAGUUUUUCAUUUAAAAUAUUGAAUCUCUUUCUUUCUUUUCCUUUUUUUCCUUUUUUUUUUUUUUUAAAGUUAAACAAGGCGGGGCAUCUAUUACCUCAAGGUACAUUUGAAUGUCUUACAUGAGACUGAAGAUAUUCUCUACUGCAUGGAAUGACACCUUUUGCUCAUCCAUUCUUCCCACUUGUCUAGAUGCCGUGCAUUUUCUUAUUAUCAUCUAUUUCCCUUUCUUUCCUCCCUCACGCAUGAAGAUUUCGUAUGUAACUACGGUUACCGAUGAAUAGGUAGGAGUACGUUAAUGGCACGACCAGUCGCCCAAGCAAACAAUUCUCCUCCAAGAAGAAUUUUGCUAUGCCUCCGAUCCCCAUAGGGCAAAAGAGCUGCCUGGUGAUCUCUAGGUUGCAGAACGUCCGGUUCUUAGCUCCUCUAAUUGCAUUGACUAACUUUUUCCUAAUUGCAUUAGGAGUCCUAUUCAACUUAAUGUUUUUCCUUUUUCAUGCCAUAUGCUAGGUGCUAUUACUUGUUCAUUAAUUGCUCGUUGGUUUCUAAAAGUAAAUCCUAAUGCAAUUUGGUCCGUCUGCUUUUAAUCUUACUAAUUUGAGUCAGACCCAACAAGUGUGGGGUAGAAUUAUGUUUUAUUUCUAACAUUUUAACAUUUCUUUAAAAAAAAAAAAAAAAAGGAGAAAGAUCAGCGUAAAAAAUCGUUGUUAAAUUAGAUUACAAAAAUUAACAGAAUAUGGAUAUCAAUUAUGUAUUUAUAUCGAAAUUGACCAAAAGUAUUAUUUUGCAGGUGAUGUUGGACAAUGGCAUUGUUAAACUGACAUUACUAUCUCCAAGUGGUUACAUCGCAGGAAUACAAUACAAACAAACCAAGAAUGUACUUGAGUAUCAUUUUAAAGAAUCAAGAAGAGGGUGAGUUGCUUUGGAAAUUAAUACGAAACAGUUCAAGUAAAGCUAUCAAAAACAUAUAUUCAUUGGAAAUAUAUUCAUCAUGAAUCGCAGAACAAUUUAUAAAAUCCCCUUUUACUGAUAGUGAUUCAAAUGAAUUUAUUUAUGUAAUCGAAAAUGCUAUAUGAAAUUAUAUUUAUAUGUUUCAUCAUGUCUACUAUCAAUAAAAUUAUGCAGGAUCCAAGGAACCAGUUUCAGGGUUAUUGAAGAAACAGAAGAUAUGAUAGAAGUUUCAUUCAUGACAACUUGGAAUUCCUCUCUUAGCUACUCUUUUCCCUUGAAUGUCGACACAAGGUAGACUUUAAUUUAAUAAUAAAUAAAGCAUAUAAUCUCGUAAAUCACACUAGAAUUUGCCUACUAAAAAAGAUUUUUUUUACAGGUUUAUAAUGUUGCGUGGUGUUUCUGGUUUCUAUUCAUAUGCAAUAAUGGAACAUUUAGAGGGAUGGCCUGAUUUAAAUGUUGAUGAAGCAAGGAUUGCUUUUAACCUCCACCAAGAAAUGUAAGAUUCGAGAAUUAGUAACUUUACAAUUCGUUAAAUGUUCAGUCAUUUGUGAAGAAAACUUGCAUAUAUAAUUUAACUAUUUUGUAUAUGUAGGUUCCAUUACAUGGCCGUAUCAGACAGCAUACAAACACCUAUGCCAACAGCCUAUGAUCGUAUGGAAGGUCUAGUUCUUGAUUAUAAAGAAGCCGUUUUGUUGACAAAUCCUAGCAAUCCAGCCCUCAAAGGCAAGGUAGGUGUCUAACCAUUGAUCUCAUAACUUAAUAUUCUCGGUAUCCAUUAUAUGUUCUUUUAACUUAAAUGAUGCAUCAAGCCAGUGAAAAUAUAGAAGAUAAUAUGCAUAACUAUAACUGCACUACACUCGUUAUAUUUAAAGAUUUACGUAUGGUGAACUUUAUGUUAGAUAUUUUUCAUCAUUUUGCAUGUAUUUAUUUCUGUUUUGCGAAUGAUUUGCCGCCCCGACUAGUGUUUGCCGCUGCGCAACGGGGAUCGACCUGCCCGGUCAAGUCUCAGGGGUAAAGGGGGCUCGGGGGCAACACCCUCGAAAGAGAAUUUUAUUUCAGAAGUCUUAGAAUAUGUGCAUCUAUUCGUUUUUUAACAGUCACCUCCAGUAGAUGUAUGCAAGGAUUUCAAGGGACACACCUAUUCAAACGGUUACCUCAAUUUCUACAAAUUCUAGACGAAUUCUCGUUUGCAAAACACAUUAAACAAUUUAUUCUUCUUUCCUUCUUUUGGCAUCAAUCAGUUAUUUUCGAGUGUCUUCUUGGUUUGAUCAAAUAGUCACAAUUUGAAUCAAACGUCUCCAUUGUAUCCUGAGAGAGAUUUUCUAUUAUACCCCAAUUGUGACUUUGUUGAAUAGGGGAGAAACAUCUCUUAAAAGAUAACGUUUUUUCGUGCCUUGGAGUUCAUUAAAGUAUUCAGAUUUCCCUACAUUUUUUUCAACACUUUAUUGAUUAGGUCGAUGACAAGUAUCAAUUCUCAUAUGACAACAAGGAUAGCUUGGUGCACGGGUGGAUUAGCUCCCAUCCACAUAUAGGGUUUUGGGUGAUAACACCAAGCAACGAGUUUCGUGCUGGUGGCCCUGUGAAAAAUGAUCUUACAUCUCAUGCUGGCCCGACUUCUUUAGCAGUAAGUAAAUCUUAUUAUCUUGUAUAAAUCACUUUGUUUACAAAAUUUAUCUUCUUCUUUAGAAAAUCCAGGUUCACAUCAAUGAUUUAUUCCUAAAAAUUAAAGUCACACUUUCUCAUUCGCUAAUUCCUUUCAUCUAUAUGCAGCCUUUUUUUAGUGGUCAUUAUGCUGGUUCGAAUUUCGGGAUUAGAUUACGAAAUGGAGAGCCGUGGAAAAAGGUCUUUGGCCCAAUUUUUAUAUAUCUCAACUCAAGAAGUUGGGCAGAUGCUAAAAAACAGGUAAUUUUCGCGCCACAAAGUACAAUAAAGUUCUACCAAGUCACGCAUAAAUCAACUUUGUUAAUCCGUACUCCACCAGAUGCAAGAAGAAACCCAAAAAUGGCCUUACGACUUUCCAAGUUCAGAAGAUUUCCCUCAUGCCAAUCAACGGGGUACCGUUAGGGGUCGAUUAUUAGUCCGUGACAGGUAUCUUAAUCCACAUUUCAUGCCUGCAAAAUCAGCAUAUGUUGGGUUAGCUCCACCUGGAGAUGUCGGAUCUUGGCAAACAGAAACUAAGGUUAUAUUUGGUAAAAAUUUAAUAUCUAUCGUAAGAAUGUGAUUGUCACAUAGAUAUUAAAUUAUUAUUUAUUAAUAUCAUUAUCAAGGUUAUGAAUUUUGGAGUCAAACUGAUGAGCAUGGUUACUUCACAAUAAGAGGCGUUCGAGGAGGUACUUACAGUUUGAAUGCUUGGGUCCCAGGAGGGAUGGGUGACUAUAAAUAUGAAAAUGAUAUUUUCAUCAAAUCAGGUUUUAAUCUCAGUACCUAUAGAAUUUUACAUUUAAAAUGUUUUUCUAAGAAAAUCUUGCAUUCAAUUUAUAGAUAGAAAGAACAAACAUAUUUAACUCAAAAUCUGAUUUUUGGGACAGGGAGUCAAAUUCAACUAGGCAAUCUUGUAUAUAGUCCUCCAAGAAAUGGUCUGACCCUAUGGGAAAUUGGAAUUCCUGAUCGUACCCCUGCUGAGUUCUACGUCCCUGAUCCGGCACCCGAGUUCAAAAACGACCUAUUUAUCAACCCUACGGAUAAGUAAGCUCCCUAUAAAAUGAACACCGUUGUUGAGUUUAAUUUCAACAAGUUCUUGAUGAUUUUUAAUAAUAUAUUUUAUUAAAUUCAGGUAUAGACAAUAUGGAUUAUGGGAUACAGAUUUAUACCCUGAUCAAGAUUUAGUUUGCACUGUUGGCACCAGUGAUUACAGAAAAGAUUGGUUCUUUGCUCAUGUCAACGGGUAUUUACACACAAUUUGAUGGCCUUUUUCUUCUUAGAUUAAAAAUCUUGCAAAUUAAAUCCCAAUUAAUUUUGCAGGAGAACAAAUAGUACAUCAAGGUUUGAAGCAACCACAUGGCAAGUAUCAUUUGAUUUAAAAAAUAUCAGGAGGAAGAGAGGAACAUAUACAGUCCAUACAGCUAUAGCGUCUGCCACUUGUAAGGUGAAAUUACAGCAAUAAUCAAGGUGAUACCAGGCUCAGUUUCCACCAUAUAUCGACACAACCUCGAUUGAGACAACACCCAACUUCCACCUUCUUCCUUCCCACCUCCGGUUGCUAUAUAUAUACUCACAAAAAGUUGGCCAAAAUGAAGAACAAUGUAUAACCCAAGAGAAAUCACACAGGUUAUAUGAAAGAAAGAGGCCGAGAAUCAAAUUCACAGAAAGAGAUGGAGUGUUCUUCAUAAUGGAGGCAUAGGUGGAGCCGUAGGUUAUAAGCCAAAAUGAGUGACCAAAAAUGGUAAGUUAGGUUAGGUAAACUAAGUGGUCCAAACAAGGCUCAACACAAGGUAAUGGGCUCCAAAUGAAUACCAUAGCCCUCCAAAUAAAUGAGACGAACCAUGAGCAACGCUAUUAAAAUAGGUUACUUCUAACGGUUCAUAGAGAUGUGGGUUGGGUUGUCUCGAUGAUAGUGUCGACAUAUAAUUCAAUCAUAUGGCCAAGACCGAUUGAUAAUAAAUAAAACUAAGGUUACAUCAUUGUCCGGGAGGUCGUUUGACAACAAAUUGCAUAAGAACCUCCACAUUGGUGUUAAAGGACUUGCAAAAGAAAAUGUCUCCCAUUAGUGACACAUCUAAUAGAAAACCAAUAAAAUUGGAAAUCAUAUACCUGUACCAAUGUUUAAAAGUUUCUUGCAACUUCUAAACUUUGCCAGUGGCAAUACCUUCGUCCCCAUAUCGGAAGGGUUGUACUGGGUGUGGACCUUUUCAAAUCUUACCACCUCUUGAGACACUGUAUCUCUAAUGAAGUGGAGUCUAACAUCAAUGUGUUUAGUGCGCUCUUGAAAAAUGGAAUUCUUGCACAAAUGUAUAGAUGACUGACUAUCAGAGUACACUACCACAUAAUCAUUCAAGACACAUAGUUCAUAAAGUAGGCCUUUAAGCUAUAGAGCUUCUUUAAUAGUUUCAGUGGUAGCAAUAUAUUCUGAUUCUGUAGUGGAUAGUGCAACAAUAUGUUGUAACUGUGAUUUCCAACUUACACAUGAAUUAGAUAAGGUAAACACGUAAGAUGAAGUAGAUUUCCUACCAUCCCUAUCNNNNNNNNNNNNNNNNNNNNNNNNNNNNNNNNNNNNNNNNNNNNNNNNNNNNNNNNNNNNNNNNNNNNNNNNNNGUAGAAAGGCAUGCGGCCGCAUGGUUCCGCCAGACAGCUUUCAGUGUUUUAAUCAUAACUUUCUUUCCCGAUGUCCAAUUGAGGUGAUUCAAGUUGCAUUGGAUAGCUAACUCAAAAGGUCACAAUUUUUAUUCAGAAGUCAUCUCCCAAUUCGAUCAUCUUCCAUGUCAAAAAAUGGGUCCCAACAUGAGACUAAAAACUGGUGUGUUGGUUUUCGAUUGGAAAUUGAUGUAUUGAUCAAAAUUUGAUGUUAUUUCAUUCCUUUGACUUCGUUCCUCAUCCACUUGACCUCUAACACUUUCAAAUCUUCAUCAUAAUCUUGGACACAAGUUUGAAUCAUUUGCACUUUAGUCCUCGAACUUUCGUUCUCUUCUACUUUGGUCAUUUUUCACUUGUUUCUUCCGAAUUUUAUCUUUUUCACCAAAAUGCAACCUAAACUAAAAUAUAAGAGUAAUGAGUGCAUUUUGUCAUAAUAUAAUCACAUGAAUGCAAUAGUUAAGAGGGGAAAAUAUGGUAUUUUACACUCUUAUCAGGUCAGAAAGAUAUUCAGGCAUCAUUUAGUGCAAAGUGUUCAAUGGGAAGACUGAUUUCUCUUAUACAAAUUAGUUAUAUUUUUGUCUGAGUCUUUGUCUCGCGUUUUAAUUCGUAUGUGGCCUUCUCACUUCAUAUGAAUAUAUUGCUUUCAACUAUACUCAGUGCGCAUAUAAUCCUUCACAGGUUUACGCAACAAAAUUUUUUUAACUUGUACCUAUAACAAUUAAUUGUAAGGAUGAGUCCUAUAAAAAAGAAAUAAAUAAAUAAAUAAAAUUGUAGGGAUGAGUAAGUGCGACCAUAUCUGUUUCCUUUUUUGGUUUAUCUCAUCAUAUCACAUUUUGUUCUUUGAGAUCUGAAAUCACUGUCAAUAGAUGGGAAUCUUGCUGAGUGUAUGGGCGUGUGUUUGUAAAACCUAAUAUCAUAGUCUUUCUUUAUCUAAUGCCACAAACUUAAUUGGUUCUUAAUUCUAGGUUGGAGAUCAAUAUCGGAGUAAUGAUGACGGUGAACCAUCUGGUACAGCUGGCAAGCCAAUACAUUCUGCAAUUGUCUCUUCUGGCAUAGAUAGAGUUAUGGUUGUCAUUAUCAGGUACAGGCCCCAGUAUUUCAAUUGAGGAAAGAUGGUGUAAGUUAUUAAAUUCUUUUAUUGAUUAACAUAUUUUAAAGAUGAUCUGGAAACUGCAGUUGCCUGUUUUGCUAGUGGCUGUACUUCUACUCCUUUUAUAGUUGAUAAUCCUUCAUUGUUGUCUCUUGCUCAAAACUUCAGAAUGUCAUUUUAGCUGACCAAAGGUCUGCAAAUAUUUGCUUCAUGCUUCACUUUAUAUGUUUCCUCUAUUUGGUUUAGGUAUUUUGGAGGAAUCAAACUUGGCACUGGAGGAUUAGUUAGAGCAUAUGGAGGAGUAGCUGCCGAAUGUUUGAGGAAUGCCCCGACAUGCCUUGUAAAAUCAAAAGUAAAUUGAUUGUACUUUUGCAUUCUAUUUCUAUUUAGCUCCUUAAAAAUCCAAUAAUUGCAUUUAAAUCACUUUAUGCUUGUAUUUGCUUUCACGCUACCUCACUGAAAGCAUGCUUAUGGGUGCAUAAAUCAAGCAUGAUUCUGUUGUAGGUUCCUAUGGGCUUGGAGGUUUCAUUUGAUCUUUUGGGAGUACUCUACCAUCAAGUAAGAUUCAAAUUGUUGAAAUUACUUAACUUUAUAUUAUUUCUAAUUAUAAUUUUUGCUAGCUACUCUUUCGACAAUUCUCAUUUUGACAUCUUUAGGCUUCAUACUAGUCAAAAGAAAAACUGAAAUGCCCUUUUGGUUUGACCAAGUGACAAAAAUGUUUAAUUUUUCCAUCCAGAUAUAAUAAGCAAAGACGAAAAGAUAAUGCUGCCUAUCUAUUUCUCAAAUUAAUCAAACUUUGUCUACUUCCCUUCUAUAUAUCCCACUCUGAUUGAUCUGCUGCGUUGAUAUUCUCCCAUAUUAGUGUCAAUGUUCUGUUUUUUCUUAUCUGAUACACUAUCAGCAUGGUGUGUACCAUCUUACUUGUUUUUUCAUUGAAGGACAUUUUGGACUUAUUUCCUUCGAGUCUUGAAGGGGAGAUUUUUUAUGUAACUGGAAGGAAUAUGUAAUGGUUGCAGUUUAGAUCAAAUAAUUGAGGGACUAAUCUUUAGAUUUUGAAACCAUAAACAGUUACUUUUAAUGUAAUUAAGCCUAAUGUUCAAUGGGAAUGAAAUGCCUUUUUAAGUUCUAAUAAAUUUAAUAAGAUAAGGAAUUUGUUGUGAUGAACAAGAUAGAAUCUAAUUUGUAGAAUUAAUAGAACCACGAGCAUGAUUUAGCCUAUCCUAGCGCAAUCUUGACAUUCAAAGACUGAGAUUUAGAAAUUUCUUGGUUUCCUUAGAGCGACCUAUCCUAGUCGGAACAUUUGAAUCAUAAUCUGUGACCUAGGUUAUUUCAGUAACAUCUUUUAUAAAUUGAACUUAUUGCUUCUUAGAUUUUUUUUGUUUUUGUUUUUUUUGUUUUUGUUUUUGUUUUUUUUAAAUAUUUUAUUCCUUCUUAGUUAAGAAGAAUGGUUACAUAACUCCAUCUUAUACUUGUUGACUUGCAGCUACAAUCUUUUCAAGUCGAGGACAUCAAGCAGGACUAUGAUACUGGAAAAGACAAUGUUACAAUGGUCACUUUCAAAGUUGAUUUUGAUCGGGUACAAAGUUUGGAAGAAGCUAUCAAGGUAAGUUGUAGCCGUGAUAUUGUGUUUUAUAAGCAUUGAAACGCUCGUGUUUUUGGUUUUCCUUUUGGAAACAUAGGGAUCUUCAAAGCUUUCAAGCUCAGCAGAAUGAAUUACAAUUUUAAGAUAAGAGGCAAAUUUCAUCUUUUCUGCAACCUGUUCUUUGCUUAAUGCUACAGUGUUAACAUAUAUCGCGUGGAUCGAUGAUGCAUGUAUGAUAUUAAACUGAUGAGAACAGGUUGUUGCACAUAUUGUUGAUGUACACAAUAAGUUCUAUUUGUAGUGAAAAUUUACACCUGAC